GCUCUUAGCGCUUCUUUGGCAAAGGCUACUCGCUCGCGGUAGAGCUGUCUUUGCUAGCUUUAUUGCUGGCUCUAAGCCUACCUCCUUGACUACAUCCUGAUAACCGCCUGCCUGCCUUGACAGAAGAAGCAGUGCAGUAAGCGUCUCCGGACAUAUAAAGUAGGCAAUCAUCGGUCUAGGUUUCAGUCGUAGUUUCUGGUAUUGAAG
rnacentral:lncRNA from 1 species